GGCAGUGUAGCAUAGUGGUAAUGUGUAGGACUCGUAACUGAAAGGUUGCCAGUUCGAUUCCCCACUGGGGCACUGCUG